UAGUGGCGGACGGGUGAGUAACACGUUGGUACCUACCCCGAAGUGGGGAAUAACUGCCCGAAAGGGUGGCUAAUACCGCAUAAUCCCGCAAGGGUAAAGCAGUAAUGCGCUUCGGGAGGGGCCUGCGUCUGAUUAGCUAGUUGGUAGUGUAAUGGACUACCAAGGCUACGAUCAGUAGCUGGAUCGAGAGGUUGACCAGCCACACUGGGACUGAGAUACGGCCCAG
rnacentral:rRNA from 1 species